rnacentral:lncRNA from 1 species
GGCGGCGGCGCGUGGGCACCGGAAGUGCAGCCUGCCGGCCCCGCCUUGUCCGCGCCCACGGGGGGGCACUUCCGGUCAUGGGGCGUAACGGAGCUCUGAGUGUAGACAGGGGGCUGCUGCGCUGCACCCCCAUAUGCAUGGAGGAUGUUUAUGGCUACUUGCAACGAGCAUCCCUGUAUUACCUGCUUCUCUAUGUUUCAGGAGACCCCUGCCCACCCUUGCAGAUGUCCACGACAUCAUGCCAGCCUCAGCAAGCAUCUCUUUCCUCCAGACGACAGCCUGGGUCUACCUUCAUGCCAGGAUGUGCCGCGAGCCCGUCCUCUUGCCCACUGGACCCUCCCUGGAUCUCAUGAUGGUGGAGAAGGGUAGUGACCCCCUGUGUAUAUUCAGGCAGCGCUUGUCUGACCCUGAUAUAGGCAAGGGUGUGGCCAGGAGAUUGAACCCUUCUGGCGUUACUUGUGUGUGCAGGACAGUGCUGAUAAGCGUGUGGCAGAUCGUGAGGGGUUGCUGUGGACUAUAGCAGUCAAAUUCACGAACGCUUGAAGAUUGACUCCAGAAUAGACUUAUGUUCUUCAACUCCCUAGUCU